ACACUGCUGAGGAGUCCCGAAAUAAGACGAAACGGCCGUCCAGUAU
rfam:Schistosoma margrebowiei strain Zambia genome assembly, scaffold: SMRZ_contig0000294